rnacentral:rRNA from 1 species
UACAGAGGGGGCAAGCGUUGUUCGGAAUUACUGGGCGUAAAGGGCGCGUAGGUGGCCAACUAAGUCGGACGUGAAAUCCCUCGGCUUAACCGGGGAACUGCGUCCGAUACUGGCAGUCUCGAGUGCGGGAGAGGUGAGUGGAAUUCCCAGUGUAGAGGUGAAAUUCGUAGAUAUUGGGAAGAACACCAGUGGCGAAGGCGGCUCACUGGCCCGUAACUGACGCUGAGGUGCGAAAGCGUGGGGAGCAAACAGG